AUAAAGCACAAACGCAUUUGAGACUUAAACCCUGGAAGACAUUAAUUAGUAAGAACCAGCCUCCCAUUCCCCACCCGUGCUAAAGAGUCUUAAACGGCUUUUUAUUAAUAAGAUCAUCGUCCAGUAAUAAGUGCAUUAUUCAACACCAAUAAAACUGUAAUUCUGACCCUCCUUUUGGUUUAUUAUUGGCAUUUAAUUAAAAAGCCUAACCUAAUCUUCUACUUUAUUGUUGCAGAAGUAAAAGUUCACCCCAGACUGCAGUUUGUAAAACACGUUAUGAGUAUUGUAUUCCUCGUUAGUGCUCAGAGAAAAUAGCGACUCAAUAAUAACUAAGUCAGCUUCAGGGUGGCUGACUCAGAAACCUGCCCUAAAGGAACCACUCAUCAAAUCUACUUGGUUGGUUUACUUCAAAAGUACUUUAAAUUUAUACUUGUGUGCAGUACUUGGGGAAAUGUCCUUCAUUCAUUCCAUCACUUGGCUCGAGGUGUUACCAGUAAUGCUUUUCAGCUUUCCUGUGUUAUGUAGGGGAAGUUUCUCACUUCACUGCAGCUCCAAACUUCUUCCACCUUUCUGACAUUUUGCAACGGAAGUUUAUUUUUUCUGUCUCACCCAUCUCACUUACCUUUUUCCUUCUCUACUGUAAAUGCUAAAAUGAUAGUGACAGCUGCUUCCACUUGUGUGCUAGAGCGGCACCUGUUUAAUGAGACAUAUGCCAAGUAUUUCAUUGCUUUUUUAGCAUUUCUACCUAAAAAUAUAUAGUGUAGUUACGGUGAGACUGAACAUUCAUUAAGUGUUUUGUUUUUUUAAACUGAUCCCUUGUUUUUCCUUUUCUCUACAGCCAGCUCUUCCUCUCUGGGCUUCACUGAAGAUGUCAGCGGUUCUUUUUCCCGUGCUUCACUCAACAUAUCUUUUGGAGGACAAGAAGAAAAAUGAAGGUUAAAACCAUGUCAUAUUUUGAUAAUGAGGAAGUGACACGCGUCAUCAGGGGUUGAGGUGGUGCAGAGGAGCAGGUUGGUCAGUCACCUCACGGCGCCAGAGGACAGGACGCCACGCCGGCAGACUGAUAAAUCAAACCGAGGCGAAGCGACAGAGCUCUGCUGGUGUCACACCAUGAUAAGAGACAGAGGCCUUGUGAAACCACAGGUCUGGAGUUUUGUCCGUGGAGGCCAGGUGAGCGAGGCCUCCUAUUGGUCGGAGAGGAGCAGCAUGAGCAGCCAGCCGAGGCCCAGCAGCAGAGAGAGGCGGACGGGCUCGGCUCCAUGGUCCAACAGGCCCGGGGAGGGGAGAGUGGAGUCCCCCUCGUCGCCCCACAAUCUGUCGUUCUCGUUAACCUGGGAGAAAACAAACAUGAUGCGUCAUCAUUCAUUUGGGUAAAAUAAAUAAAAGUGAUUUGCCUCCCGAUUCAGCACCAGGAAACAUCCUCUCAUCACAAGCAGCGGGGGAACUACUCCCAGAGGACAGGUUUUAUGAGCAGACAUGUGGGUAUAACGGCUGUAUUUCACGUCUCCACAGUGGAAGAAAGGCGAUGGUGAGGACUUUGCAAUUUUACAGCAGGAGAUGCAUUGCAAACAUGUACAGAAAAAAGUCUUCAAUCAGUCCCAGCAUCUCUGGAUUCCUCCUUUCUCUCCAUCCUUUGCACUAGAACAUCUGAAUCCCAUCAGACGCUGCUGUACUGUUCCUACUUAUUCAUUUCAAUGCACCUGUUUAUGACUUAUCAAUUCUAUUACCAUGUUUUGUUGGAUGUACAGUCCUUCAUUGAGGAAACAUUCAUAUACUUUGGACUUUUAUUCUUUUUGACUUUCAAAAAGACACACCAUCCUACGAUAUGUUUGACUGUUCUAUGACUUUUUCAACAUAUUAUUCUGACUUUUGAAACAUUUAAUAUACCGUACAAAUAUAAUGUUAAAAAUGACGGAUAAAUAAGAUAAUUAGAAUGUGAAGUGUAAACCUAAAGUCCGUCAGUAUCAGUGAAGCUUGCCUUUCCUUUUUAUUUUGCUUCUGUUGAUUUAUCAUACAGCCAUUUAAAUGUGAAAGGAUGUUGGUUAAAGGAAUGAUGAGCCCCCAGGGCAGCUGUCCAGAGAUCAUUCAGUGGUAAAGUGAACUCUGACUGGUGUCUACUCAGUGACACCUCGCUUGAUCCGGAGCCGACACACGACUAUCAGGUGGGGAAACGUCCGUGUUCUUCCCCGCUUUAUCCUCUGUAGCAUAUUAUUACGUCUAAUGCAAUCAGAGGAGGAUCAACAAUACUGCGUGGGACGAGUAGUUCAAAGCACCUGAGGCGAGAAUAUGUAAUUUUGGUUUUUGGCUCUUUUUUCUUCAGCUUUCCCUCUGGAAAUAAGUAAAUGGCCUAGUUACACAUUUAGCCAGUGGAGUUUAUUAAUAUCUGUUGGCGGACUGUCAAUUAUGUUAUCUGCAGCCUCUUUUGGAGGGAAGGGAUCACAUUAGCAGCCAAAUGCAUUGAGUUUAUGUCCUUAGC